GACGAACGCUGGCGGCGUGCUUAACACAUGCAAGUCGGACGAAGUGGCGAACGGGUGAGUAACGCGUAAUCAACCUGCCCUUCAGGGGGGGACAACAGUGGAAAACGACUGCUAAAACCGCAUACUGAAGGAGGGGACUGCGUCUGAUUAGCUAGUUGGAGGGGUAGCGGCCUACCAAGGCGAUGAUCAGUAGACGGUCUGAGAGGAUGAACGGCCACAUUGGGACCGAGACACGGCCCAGACUCCUACGGGAGGCAGCAGUGGGGAAUUUUCCGCAAUGGACGAAAGUCUGACGGAGCAACGCCGCGUGAGUGAUGACGGCCUUUGGGUUGGAAAGCUCUGUUAAUCGGGACGCGGUACCGGAAUAGAAAGCCACGGCUAACUACGUGCCAGCAGCCGCGGUAAUAC
rnacentral:rRNA from 1 species